AUAGUACUCCCUCCGUCCGGAAAUACUUGUCGUAAAAAUGGAUAUAAAUGGAUGUAUCUAGAACUAAAAUACAUCUAGAUACAUCCAUUCUUCGGACAAGUAUUUCCGGACGGAAUGAGUACAUG
rfam:Triticum aestivum genome assembly, contig: Triticum_aestivum_CS42_TGACv1_scaffold_591789_7BS